rnacentral:rRNA from 1 species
AGAGUUUGAUCAUGGCUCAGGAUGAACGCUGGCGGCGUGCCUAACACAUGCAAGUCGAACGUGAAAGUUGAAAUGAGUACUUCGGUAUGAGUUUUGACUGGAAAGUGGCGAACGGGUGAGUAACGCGUAGGUUACCUGCCCCAAAGUGGGGGAUAACCACUGGAAACGGUGGCUAAUACCGCAUAGUUCUGCUUUUACAGGAGUAAAGGCAGGUAAAGCUCUGGCGCUUUGGGAGGGGCCUGCGUCCGAUUAGCUAGUUGGUGGGGUAAAGGCCUACCAAGGCUAUGAUCGGUAGCUGGUCUGAGAGGAUGAUCAGUCACAUGGGAACUGAGACACGGUCCCAACUCCUACGGGGGGCAGCAGUGAGGAAUAUUGCACAAUGGGGGAAACCCUGAUGCAGCAACGCCGCGUGGAGGAUGAAGGUUCUAGGAUUGUAAACUCCUUUUCUGAGGGAAGAGCAAGGACGGUACCUCAGGAAUAAGUCACGGCUAACUACGUGCCAGCAGCCGCGGUAACACGUAGGUGGCAAGCGUUAUCCGGAUUUAUUGGGCGUAAAGCGCACGCAGGCGGUUGAUUAAGUUUGGCGUGAAAUCUCUCGGCUCAACCGGGAGGGGUCGUUGAAAACUGAUCAGCUUGAGGCAAUGAGAGGGAUGCAGAAUUCCUGGUGUAGUGGUGGAAUGCGUAGAUAUCAGGAGGAAUACCAGUGGCGAAAGC